AUAUCUCUCCGUACGGGAAGGAUGAGAAGCUUCGACUAAGGUUCGAUUCGAGCGAAAGCGAGAAAGCGUUGCCGCAGGCAACGAC
rnacentral:sRNA from 2 species